UACGAAGGGUGCAAACGUUGCUCGGAAUUAUUGGGCGUAAAGAGCUCGUAGGCGGUUAGUCGCGUCUGCUGUGAAAACUCGGGGCUUAACUCCGGGCCUGCAGUGGGUACGGGCUGACUAGAGUGCGGUAGGGGAGACUGGAAUUCCUGGUGUAGCGGUGAAAUGCGCAGAUAUCAGGAGGAACACCGGUGGCGAAGGCGGGUCUCUGGGCCGUAACUGACGCUGAGGAGCGAAAGCUAGGGGAGCAAACGGG
rnacentral:rRNA from 1 species